rnacentral:rRNA from 1 species
UUCGACCUCAAAUCAGGUAGGACUACCCGCUGAACUUAAGCAUAUCAUUAAGCGGAGGAAAAGAAACCAACAGGGAUUGCCUUAGUAGCGGCGAGUGAAGCGGCAAAAGCUCAAAUUUGAAAUCUGGCACUUUCAGUGUCCGAGUUGUAAUUUGAAGAAGGUAUCUUUGGGUCUGGUUGUUAGUUUCCGUUGGAAAC